CAGCCAUGCCGCGUGAGUGAAGAAGGCCUUCGGGUUGUAAAGCUCUUUCGGCUGGGAAGAAAUCGCACAGGCUAAUACUCUGUGUGGAUGACGGUACCAGCACAAGAAGCACCGGCUAACUACGUGCCAGCAGCCGCGGUAAUACGUAGGGUGCGAGCGUUAAUCGGAAUUACUGGGCGUAAAGCGUGCGCAGGCGGUUGUGCAAGACAGAUGUGAAAUCCCCGGGCUCAACCUGGGAACUGCAUUUGUGACUGCACGACUAGAGUACGGCAGAGGGGGGUAGAAUUCCACGUGUAGCAGUGAAAUGCGUAGAGAUGUGGAGGAAUACCGAUGGCGAAGGCAGCCCCCUGGGCCGAUACUGACGCUCAUGCACGAAAGCGUGGGGAGCAAACAGGAUUAGAUACCCUGGUAGUCCACGCCCUAAACGAUGUCAACUAGUUGUUGGUAGGGUUAAACCUAUUAGUAACGUAGCUAACGCGUGAAGUUGACCGCCUGGGGAGUACGGUCGCAAGAUUAAAACUCAAAGAAAUU
rnacentral:rRNA from 1 species